UUUCGAUAUCAUAACUGAUAUUUAAACUCGCAGAUGUGGUUGAGCAAAUCUGUUCUGUCCAGGGCUCUGACCUCACCAAAGAAAUAACUCGAGUCGUUAUCCGUCUCCUCAUUGACCAGUAAGAAACAAUCAACACAUAGUUCCCUUUAUAUUAUUGUCUAUAUUGUGCUAACAUCAGUAAUAAAAAAUAUUUCCUACCCAAGAUUUGUGGUCGUCUAUUUAUUUCCCUUACUUAUCAAUCUAAUUUUACACAAAUCUUUAUUUUACAGCUUAAAAGAAACCACAAUAACCCAAACAAUCAAAACACCAAAAACUAGAAUCCCGAAAAGACGAAUCAUUAAUGAUCACCUCUCUUUUUGUCUAAUCUUACAAAUAAACUUCAAAACAAAUAUAUCAAACCAAUCAACUCAACUAAAACUCCACGACACAUACAUUGAGCAAGCUAAACAAAUACAAACUAUAUGACCAACUAUUUAACAAUUUACAAACUUACUUUCGCAGAUGCUUACGAAGAAGACGAAAACGACAACUAAGAUCAGUGAAAUUACUUAAACAAAAAAGCAUAGUAAGUUACAAACUCUGAUAAAUACAACUAACAAUGAUUUUUGUUUACAUAUUAUCCAUCAAAUAAAAGAGAAACAAACACAACCACACCAGCAGAUACAAGAAACAAUCCCAACAUAUACAAAGGCGGCAACAACAUCUCCACCUGCUCACUCCUCUUGUCUUAUGAAAAUAGCUUACAUGCUCAAUGUCAACAGGCCAAUGCUAUUGUCUUCGAAAAAUACAUAUAUUCGUUUUAAUGCCCAAAUAGUAAUUGUCACUUAAUUUAUAACUAUUUCUACAAAUCUUUAUGUAUUUGUUUUAAAGGUCCGGUAAAACCAACAAAUUUAAAAAUAAAAUAACAUAUAACCAACAUAAUAAGAAUAAAAAAAAUUAUUACUUACUACACACAACUUACACAACUAAACUGGAGAAAAAAAUAUCCAGAAACAAAAGGUAUUCUCAACAACCUUAAUAUAAUUUAUGUAGUAUCUACAGUAGAAGUAACAAACUAAAAAGACAAACAAACAAUAAGUCUCAGUGACACAACAAGCAACACCACGAACUAUAUCAAUCACAUUACUAACACAGUUUAGUCUUUCAUGAGUG
rnacentral:lncRNA from 1 species